UUNGAUUAUUAUAUUAAACUCACCCCUGCAGAUAGCAGCAGCCAGUAAGAUUUGGCUUAUCUCAAAAGCUAAGCAAGAUUGAACCCGGCUAGUACAUGGAUGGGAGACCGUCAGGAAAUUCCAGGGCUGUAGGCUAGA
rnacentral:rRNA from 1 species